rnacentral:rRNA from 1 species
CUGCAGUGGGAUUAUAAAACUCUUUAAU